rnacentral:rRNA from 1 species
UACGGAGGGUGCAAGCGUUAUCCGGAUUCACUGGGUUUAAAGGGUGCGUAGGUGGGCAGGUAAGUCAGUGGUGAAAUCUCUGGGCUUAACUCAGAAACUGCCAUUGAUACUAUCUGUCUUGAAUACCGUGGAGGUCAGCGGAAUAUGUCAUGUAGCGGUGAAAUGCUUAGAUAUGACAUAGAACACCAAUUGCGAAGGCAGCUGGCUACACAAAUAUUGACACUGAGGCACGAAAGCGUGGGGAUCAAACAGG